rnacentral:rRNA from 1 species
GAUGAACGCUGGCGGCGUGCCUAAUACAUGCAAGUCGAGCGAACGGACGAGAAGCUUGCUUCUCUGAUGUUAGCGGCGGACGGGUGAGUAACACGUGGAUAACCUACCUAUAAGACUGGGAUAACUUCGGGAAACCGGAGCUAAUCCCGGAUAAUAUUUUGAACCGCAUGGUUCAAAAGUGAAAGACGGUCUUGCUGUCACUUAUAGAUGGAUCCGCGCUGCAUUAGCUAGUUGGUAAGGUAACGGCUUACCAAGGCAACGAUGCAUAGCCGACCUGAGAGGGUGAUCGGCCACACUGGAACUGAGACACGGUCCAGACUCCUACGGGAGGCAGCAGUAGGGAAUCUUCCGCAAUGGGCGAAAGCCUGACGGAGCAACGCCGCGUGAGUGAUGAAGGUCUUCGGAUCGUAAAACUCUGUUAUUAGGGAAGAACAGAUGUGUAAGUAACUGUGCACAUCUUGACGGUACCUAAUCAGAAAGCCACGGCUAACUACGUG